UGAGACAAAACAAGACAGUAAGCUCCA
rnacentral:piRNA from 1 species